rnacentral:rRNA from 1 species
UGGGGAAUAUUGCACAAUGGGCGCAAGCCUGAUGCAGCAACGCCGCGUGAACGAUGAAGGCCUUCGGAUCGUAAAGUUCUGUUGCAGGGGAAGAUAAUGACGGUACCUUGUGAGGAAGCCCCGGCUAACUACGUCCCAGCAGCCGCGGUAAUACGUAGGGGGCUAGCGUUAUCCGGAUUUACUGGGCGUAAAGGGUGCGUAGGUGGUCUUUCAAGUCGGUGGUUAAAGGCUACGGCUCAACCGUAGUUAGCCUCCGAAACUGGAAGACUUGAGUGCAGGAGAGGAAAGUGGAAUUCCCGGUGUAGCGGUGAAAUGCGUAGAUAUUGGGAGGAACACCAGUAGCGAAGGCGGCUUUCUGGACUGCAACUGACACUGAGGCACGAAAGCGUGGGUAGCAAACAGG